rnacentral:snRNA from 1 species
AUCGCUUCUCGGCCUUUUGGCUAAGAUCAAGUGUAGUAUAUAGAAAAUUUUGGAUAUUUACAACCAUAGUAAAACAAAGACUUAUAUUUUUGAUAUUUAUUUUAUAUAUUUAAAUGCCAUUUAACAAAGAAAAAUCAACCAAAUAAAUGAGUUUGCGUGUCACCUCUGACACGCAUGUCAUAGGUUCGCCAUAUCUGCUCUGGGGCCACAUGGCAGGCUAGCCCUU